rnacentral:rRNA from 1 species
AACCAGCACCUCAAGUGGUCAGGAUGAUUAUUGGGCCUAAAGCAUCCGUAGCCUGUUUUGUAAGUCUUCGGUUAAAUCCAUCAACUCAAGUGAUGGGCUGCCGGAGAUACUGCAGAACUAGGGAGUGGGAGAGGUAGACGGUACUCGAUAGGAAGAGGUAAAAUUCUUUGAUCUAUUGAUGACCACCUGUGGCGAAGGCGGUCUACCAGAACACGUUCGACGGUGAGGGAUGAAAGCUGGUGGAGCAAACCGG